rnacentral:rRNA from 1 species
AGGGUUUGAUCCUGGCUCAGGAUGAACGCUAGCGGCAGGCCUAACACAUGCAAGUCGAGGGGUAACAGGAAAGCUUGCUUUCGCUGACGACCGGCGCACGGGUGCGUAACGCGUAUGCAACCUACCUCAUACUGGAGGAUAGCCCCUGGAAACGGGGAUUAAUACUCCAUAGUAUCACGAAUUCGCAUGUUUUUGUGAUUAAAGUUUUUCGGUAUGAGAUGGGCAUGCGUCCCAUUAGCUUGUUGGUGAGGUAAAGGCUCACCAAGGCGACGAUCUUUAGCGGGUCUGAGAGGACGAUCCGCCACAUUGGGACUGAGACACGGCCCAGACUCCUACGGGAGGCAGCAGUGGGGAAUAUUGGACAAUGGGCGCAAGCCUGAUCCAGCCAUACCGCGUGUGUGAAGAAGGCCCUAGGGUUGUAAAGCACUUUAAGUUGGGAAGAAAAGUUAUUGGUUAAUACCCAAUGACCGUGACAUUACCUUCAGAAUAAGGACCGGCUAAUUCCGUGCCAGCAGCCGCGGUAAUACGGAAGGUCCAAGCGUUAAUCGGAAUUACUGGGCGUAAAGCGCGCGUAGGUGGUUUAUUAAGUUGGAUGUGAAAUCCCCGGGCUCAACCUGGGAACUGCAUCCAAAACUAAUUCACUAGAGUACGAUAGAGGGAGGUAGAAUUCACAGUGUAGCGGUGGAAUGCGUAGAUAUUGUGAAGAAUACCAAUGGCGAAGGCAGCCUCCUGGAUCUGUACUGACACUGAGGUGCGAAAGCGUGGGUAGCGAACAGGAUUAGAUACCCUGGUAGUCCACGCCGUAAACGAUGUCAACUAGCUGUUGGAAAACUAUGUUUUUCAGUGGCGCAGCUAACGUAGUAAGUUGACCGCCUGGGGAGUACGGCCGCAAGGCUAAAACUCAAAUGAAUUGACGGGGACCCGCACAAGCGGUGGAGCAUGUGGUUUAAUUCGAUGCAACGCGAAAAACCUUACCUAUACUUGACAUACUUGGAAUACUUUGUAAUGAAGUAGUGCCUUCGGGAACCAAGAUACAGGUGCUGCAUGGCUGUCGUCAGCUCGUGUCGUGAGAUGUUCCGUUAAGUCGGAUAACGAGCGCAACCCUUACCCUUAUUUGCCAGCGAUUCGGUCGGGAACUAUAAGGGGACUGCCGGUGAUAAACCGGAGGAAGGUGAGGACGACGUCAAGUCAUCAUGGCCCUUACGUAUAGGGCUACACACGUGCUACAAUGGAGAAUACAGACGGACGCUAAGCCGCGAGGUGGUGCUAAUCCUAGAAAAUUCUUCGUAGUCCGGAUUGGAGUCUGCAACUCGACUCCAUGAAGUCGGAAUCGCUAGUAAUCGCGAAUCAGCAUGUCGCGGUGAAUACGUUCUCGGGUCUUGUACACACCGCCCGUCAUACCAUGGAAGUGGAUUGCACCAGAAGUAGAUAGUCUAACCUUCGGGAGGGCGUUUACCACGGUGUGCUUCAUGACUGGGGUAAAGUCGUAACAAGGUAGCCGUA